CAGUCGCCGCGGGAAUACAGAGGGUGCGAGCGUUAAUCGGAUUUACUGGGCGUAAAGCGUGCGUAGGCGGCUUUUUAAGUCGGAUGUGAAAUCCCUGAGCUUAACUUAGGAAUUGCAUUCGAUACUGGGAAGCUAGAGUAUGGGAGAGGAUGGUAGAAUUCCAGGUGUAGCGGUGAAAUGCGUAGAGAUCUGGAGGAAUACCGAUGGCGAAGGCAGCCAUCUGGCCUAAUACUGACGCUGAGGUACGAAAGCAUGGGGAGCAACAGGAUUAGAUACCCCCGUAGUCCCUGUCUCUUAUACA
rnacentral:rRNA from 1 species